rnacentral:lncRNA from 1 species
CCGAUGCAAGCGCCCCGUUUGAUAUCGCCUCGGUCGCUGCGCCCCUCCCAUGCUUUGCAAAGCUUGAGUCGUCUCCCUCUUCCUGACAACGCUUCGAUGAAGACGAGUCCCUAAAAUUUCUAUAACGCUUUAACGUACCCGACGCGAGCGUAUCAUCGGCUCAUCGCCUCGGCUCUGCGUUCUUCCCAUGCUCUACAAAGUUUCAGCUACCCCCAUGCCGCGAUCCGGUCAGGAAAACAAAUCCACAUAUAAUAUAAAUAUUCAUUCUCAGAUUUGGGGGACCACUGUUACGCCUCAUUUCACGAGCCUCGGAACCACUCCGACCUCCCGAAGCCUCUCCGAAGUGAUACACCGAUUCCUGCCUCGAAACCACUCCGACCUCCCGAAGCCUCUCCGAAGUGAUACGCCAAUUCCUGUCACUGAUCUGCCGAAGUGUCCC